rnacentral:rRNA from 1 species
CACGCCGUAAACGAUGUCGACUAGCCGUUGGGAUCCUUGAGAUCUUAGUGGCGCAGCUAACGCAUUAAGUCGACCGCCUGGGGAGUACGGCCGCAAGGUUAAAACUCAAAUGAAUUGACGGGGGCCCGCACAAGCGGUGGAGCAUGUGGUUUAAUUCGAAGCAACGCGAAGAACCUUACCAGGCCUUGACAUGCUGAGAACCUGCCAGAGAUGGCGGGGUGCCUUCGGGAACUCAGACACAGGUGC